rnacentral:rRNA from 1 species
GAGUUUGAUCUUGGCUCAGAUUGAACGCUGGCGGCAUGCCUUACACAUGCAAGUCGAACGGCAGCAUGAUCUAGCUUGCUAGAUUGAUGGCGAGUGGCGAACGGGUGAGUAAUACAUCGGAACGUGCCCUGUAGUGGGGGAUAACUAGUCGAAAGAUUAGCUAAUACCGCAUACGACCUGAGGGUGAAAGUGGGGGACCGCAAGGCCUCAUGCUAUAGGAGCGGCCGAUGUCUGAUUAGCUAGUUGGUGGGGUAAAGGCCCACCAGGGCGACGAUCAGUAGCUGGUCUGAGAGGACGAUCAGCCACACUGGGACUGAGACACGGCCCAGACUCCUACGGGAGGCAGCAGUGGGGAAUUUUGGACAAUGGGGGCAACCCUGAUCCAGCAAUGCCGCGUGUGUGAAGAAGGCCUCGGUUGUAAG